GAGAUCUGAUGGGUUUAUCAGGGGUUUCCACUUUUGCUUCUUCCUCAUUUUCUCUUGCUGCCACAGUGUAAGAAGCUCCUUUCACCUUUGACCUCCCGCCAUGAUUCUGAGCCCUCCCGAGCCAUGCAGAACUGAGCACAGGCAGAAAGGACUUGCUUCUUCAGUUUGCAGAUAUAUUGUUCAGUCAAGGUCCUUCCUUGAAUGAUUCAGAAUGUAGCAUCUUCCUCCAAAUCCAUCUGAAUAUAGCAAGAAGAUCCUCGCCAGAUACGUGGGCCUCUUGAACUUGGACUUCCCAGCCUGCAGAAUGGGCCCGUUACUGUCAGAUUCCGGCAGUUGACCCUGGUGAUUUCACAGCAGCAAGCACUGCAGGCGUUCCCAACACACAAGGCAAACUCUGUAUAUGGGCUCACCACCCACAGAUCCAGCUGUCUGUCAUGUCGUUCCCAUAUUGAAGGAACAUAACCUGUUAUUAAGCCAAUUCAGCCCUGGAAGAAGGAACAAGUUUCCAAAAUGCAAUCUUUGAGUUUGGAAAAUGGCAUUUGAGAGGUAUAAAUAAAGCUAAAUUCUUAUAGAAC
rnacentral:lncRNA from 10 species